UUACGUGUUUAUAGAUUGCCCAACAAAUGAAAAGGAAUUGCAGUUAACUUUGAUGCUACUGAAACAAGCGUUGCAUCUCUGCUAUGGUUUUUUAUCUGUUAGCUUUACAUCUUGGAAACUGUUAUAGUUAAUUAAUUAAGAAGAACAUUAGAAUACCUCCAGAUGCCAUUAAAUUAUGGUUGUGUCAGUCCCCAAUCGCUCCAGAAAGUAGCUGUAUGUUUGGCCCUAAAACAAUCAUGAAAAUGCAAUCCAUUAGGAAUAGAGACAGUGUGUUGUUGCUGAAUAAAUGAUUUACGAUAAUAAACUAAUAGAUUGUUGUAACAAAUUAGAAGGAAUUGGUGCUACUGAAACAACCGAUGCUUUUGAUGUUUUCACCUUGCAACAUUAUGCAGUUAAUUUUGGCCCUGAGAUUGGGAGGCAAUUGGAAAUUAAUUUGGAAGCCACUGAAACAACAAAUUGCCUGCUGUGGCAUCCCUCCUAUAUUUAGUUUGCUCAUUAUACUGGUAGAUUUUAGAACGCUGCUUUCUACAGUUAAUUAAGAUCGUGCAACAAAUGAGAGAAAGUUGACGUUUGGUUUGGUCGUACUGGAACAACCAAUGUCUACAUGGGUGUGGUCUUUUGUAAUUCAUAUUCUUGAUUUGCUGUUUUCGCCUUCAUUUUGCAACAUUAUGCAGUUAAUUUUCAACCGACGAGUAAGAGCAACUGGAGGUUUAUUUGAAUUCCACUGAAAUAACAAAUUUUCUGCGGUGAUAUUCCUCUUGGAUUUGGUUUACUUUUCUCAC